GUGGGGAAUAUUCCGCAAUGGACGAAAGUCUGACGGAGCAACGCCGCGUGAGUGAUGAAGGUUUUCGGACUGUAAAGCUCUGUUGUUUAGGACGAAAGUGCCUGUUGCGAACAGUUACAGGUAUUGACGGUACUAAACGAGGAAGCCACGGCUAACUACGUGCCAGCAGCCGCGGUAAUACGUAGGUGGCAAGCGUUGUCCGGAAUUAUUGGGCGUAAAGAGCAUGUAGGCGGAGCUUUAAGUCUGUUGUGAAAAUGCGGGGCUCAACCCCGUAUUGCGAUGGAAACUGAAUUUCUUGAGUGCAGGAGAGGAAAGGGGAAUUCCCAGUGUAGCGGUGAAAUGCGUAGAUAUUGGGAGGAACACCAGUGGCGAAGGCGCCUUUCUGGACUGUGUCUGACGCUGAGAUGCGAAAGCCAGGGUAGCGAACGGGAUUAGAAACCCCGGUAGUCC
rnacentral:rRNA from 1 species